GGGUAAGCAACUUUCUUCCUCUUCAAAUUUUCAUGUCUAUUUACAUUAUGAUAAUAGUUUUCAGUAUGUGGUUUCUAGUUAGUUUUUAACUAAGAAAUAAUCCUAAGUUAUAACUUCUUAGAAAAUCACAUUUGAAUUUAUCAGGAAUUUAAUAUGGAUUUUGAAGAAUCUUAAUGGAGUAGAUAGUGACAUGGAAACCAAUCCUUUGUUGUUUUGAUAUAGCUUGAAACUCAUUUUACAUAUGCUAAAGUAUUGCAGGAAAGAUUAAUUAACUUCAUGUUGGGGGGUGAAAAUUCAUAGAGAAUGUGAUAUUUGUAUCUCAUCCUAUAGGUUGACCUAAUCAUACUCUUCAAUGCAGAUUUGGUUCUGCUAGAGCUGUU
rnacentral:misc_RNA from 1 species